rnacentral:lncRNA from 1 species
GGAUGCCCAGAUCUCAGUGACGCUGGUUAAUCACAGUGAGCAGGAGAAGGCAGUGCAGCUGGCAAUUGGGGUCCAGGCUGUACACUACAACGGUGUCCUUGCUGCCAAGCUCUGGAGGAAGAAGCUGCACCUCACGCUCAGUGCCAACCUGGAAAAGAUAAUAACCAUCGGCCUGUUCUUCUCCAAUUUUGAGCGAAACCCACCCGAGAACACCUUCCUUAGACUCACCGCCAUGGCAACACACUCUGAAUCCAACCUUAGCUGCUUUGCUCAGGAAGACAUUGCCAUUUGUAGACCACACCUUGCCAUCAAGAUGCCAGAGAAAGCAGAGCAGUAUCAACCCCUCACAGCCUCAGUCAGCCUCCAGAACUCCCUAGAUGCCCCCAUGGAGGACUGUGUGAUCUCCAUCCUGGGAAGGGGGCUCAUUCACAGAGAGAGGAGCUACAGCCCAGGAACCAAAUUACUUGCUUUACCUCAUUGUGUAAGACAAGCGUCAAAAACAGCUUCAACCUAUCUUGAACAAGAGAACUUACCUCCAAAGGUGAUCUGCCAUAGCUUACACAGAAUCAUAAAGUGUUAUAUUUUCAUUUGUU